rnacentral:rRNA from 1 species
GACGAACGCUGGCGGCGUGCCUAAUACAUGCAAGUUGAGCGCUGAAGGUUGGUACUUGUACCAACUGGAUGAGCAGCGAACGGGUGAGUAACGCGUGGGGAAUCUGCCUUUGAGCGGGGGACAACAUUUGGAAACGAAUGCUAAUACCGCAUAAAAACUUUAAACACAAGUUUUAAGUUUGAAAGAUGCAAUUGCAUCACUCAAAGAUGAUCCCGCGUUGUAUUAGCUAGUUGGUGAGGUAAAGGCUCACCAAGGCGAUGAUACAUAGCCGACCUGAGAGGGUGAGCAGCCACAUUGGGACUGAGACACGGCCCAAACUCCUACGGGAGGCAGCAGUAGGGAAUCUUCGGCAAUGGACGAAAGUCUGACCGAGCAACGCCGCGUGAGUGAAGAAGGUUUUCGGAUCGUAAAACUCUGUUGGUAGAGAAGAACGUUGGUGAGAGUGGAAAGCUCAUCAAGUGACGGUAACUACCCAGAAAGGGACGGCUAACUACGUG